AGGCGCGCGCCAUAGUUAACCCCCAAAACUCAAUCUUCCCGAAGAAUGAAACCUCAUACUCCAUCUUCUCCUCCCUCAACCCAAAAACUCUUCUCUGAAGACGCAUCUAAAUCUCAAAAACCUCAUAUGCAGUACUCACCUUCAUCUCUCUCGCUCUCUGGCUACUGAUGGGUGAAGGGAAAGCAAAAGGAAGAUUGCCUGACUAUUAAGAACACAUAAGUUCUUCUAAUAUUUUUUCAGAAUUUCUUAUGUUUGUUUUGUUACGGAUGUUGUGUGCUCGACAUGAUUGCCUAGAUGAGUGCAUAUGUUAGGUUUGUAGCUCUAAUCAUUAUGGCAUGUUAGAUUUAUCCUUAUAAUACUAUCUUGUGGACUUUGUGUGUAAUGGUUUUCAGGCCCUAAAUGUUUUCAAUUGAAUUUUAAAGUCUCGCAGCAAAUUUGCUUUGCCGUUUUUGGUUUUCAAAUCGUAUUCCCUAGGAUUCAAACUAUGAAUUUUAUGUUUACUGGCAUUAACAUUCCUUCCUAGGACGAUGAUUGAGGCAAUAGUUAUUGAGACUAGUUCUUUCUGUGAACGCAGCCUUGCUAGUAUUACAUGCAAUAAGCUAAAUAUUGUAUAGAUCUGUUCUCACUUAGUUGUCUUCUCAAACAAAAAAAAAAAAUGUCAUGUAGUUUGAUACUUCAUAAUCUGUUUGCAUCUUAUUAAUUGUUUGGCUUUGCAGCUUCUUUGCAUAUUACUCGGAGGCUAGUCUGCUUUGUCCUCUAUUCUCUAUCCUCUAUCUUCCACUCGUCAUUAAUGGUUUGAGUCUAAUUCCAGAUAUUCAAUCUGAUUGCUAAGGAUAAAUAAGGACAAAUCGUGGAUAGAUUUAGCAGAUAGGCAUUCUCCAUCAUAUUAUAAUGGAAUAGAUCAGUUUUUGACUUUUGCUGGUCAGACUUGUCCAACAAGCUUUAGGAGCUCCUAAUGUAGGAACACAUCAUCAGAAUAAUGAAGAAAGCUCAAUUAAUCCUCAUGUAGGGCCAAACGAGCCUACCAAGAAGUUCUUGAAGCUUCUUGAAGAUGCAAACCUUCCAUUGUAUCCGGGUUCUAAGAGACACAUAACUUUGUCAUAUACGGUUCGGCUUUUGCAAGUGACGGUACUUCAUGGAUGGACAGAUAAAUCCUUCAAAACUUUACUUGAGAUAUCAGCAGAAUCUAUGCUUGAAGGUGUGCAACUUCCUAAGUCAUAUUAUGAAGCCCAGAAGUUAACAGAAGUUCUCGGAUUCACUUAUAAAAUAGCAGAUGCAUGCCCUAACAGUUGCAUGCUGUUUAGAAAUGAAGACAUAAAUUUGGAUGAAUGCAGAAUAUGCAAGACAUCUCGAUGGAAAGAUAAUGGUGGUAGUUCAAAUGAUGAUGUAGCACUUGGGAAACGAAAACAAGCAAGAUAUUUUCCUUUAAAACCAAGGUUACAAAAGUUGUUUAUGACUUCAAAAACAGCAAAGCUUAUGAGAUGACAUGGAGAGGAAAGAAUUGAUGAUGGUAUGUUUAGACAUCCUGCAGACUCUCUUGCAUGGAAAGAUUUUAACCAAAAACACACAAAUUUUUCAGAAGACAUUCGCAAUGUAAGGCUUGGGUUAGCAUUACAUGGAUUCAACCCAUUCAGGUCUAUGGUACCUGGCCUAUCAUAUUGGUUCCCUACAAUUUACCACCUAUGAUGUGCAUGAAGCAGCCCUUUAUAUUUCUAUCUGUUCUUAUUGAUGGUCCUAAGACACCUGGUGAUAAAAUUGAUGUCUACAUGCAGCCACUCAUUGAAGAAUUGAAGGAAUUGUAUGAAGAUGGUGAAGAAACAUUUGAUGCAUUCAGCAAUAAAAUGUUUAAAAUGCGUGUUGUAUUGUUAUGGACGAUUAAUGACUUUCCUGCCUAUGCCAACUUGUCGGGGUGGAGUACAAAAGGUGAAUUUGCUUGCCCAUCAUGCAACUCUGAAAGUGGUUACCAGCGGUUGAAAUUUGGUCAAAAAGCUUCAUACAAGACUCAUCGGCGGUGGUUACCCUAUGAUCACAAGUAUCGAGCAAAUCCAAGGUCAUUUAAUGGCAAUACAGAAUAUAGAAGCAAGCCUAAAACAUUAUCUGGUGCUGAUCUUCUUGCACAAUUGGAAUCAAAUGGUGUUCUUACAGAGUACAAGCGGGAAGAUCUAGAGCGAAGGAAGCUGCUUGGGGUGCAAAAACCUGAUAAUGAACCUUUGAAGAAAAAGAAGCAUAAUUGGAAGAAGAAAAGUAUGUUUUAUGAGCUUCCGUAUUGGAAAAACAACCUGAUACGUCACAACCUUGACGUGAUGCAUAUAGAAAAGAACAAUAUUAGGAGUUGCUGGAAAGUCUAAGGACAACUUGAAUUCUCGUCAUGAUCUGGAACUCAUGGGAAUUAGGGUGCAGUAUCAUCUAAAGAGGAGAGAGUCCAGUACAGAGUAUGCUGAUCCAGUUGAGUUUGAGAUGAACAAUAAGGGGAAAGAUAUGUUCUUUUCAGCCUUAUCGGGAUCAAGAAUGCCAGAUGGAGCUGCUUCUAAUAUUGCACGUCGAGUACGUUUACAAGAUUGUAGUAUUGGAGGUCUUAAGAGCCAUGAUAACCAUAUUCUAUUGCAACAACUUAUUCCUUUAUUUAUACGAAGUUCUUUACCAAAGAAUGUGGUUCAGGCAUUGAUUAAUCUGGGUAUUUUUUUAAACAGUUAUGCUCAAUGGAUAAGUGCAGCAGAUCUAGAAAAGACUCGUGCUCGUAUAGUGCUGACGCUUUGUGAACUUGAUCGAUGACAUUAAUUAAAGGUUUUAAGUAAAAUCUUGACAAGAAGAGAAAAAGUGAGAUUCAGCAAAUUUUCCAUGCACCACCACUUUUGCAGGCACAAGUACUUCGUGAAGCAAUCCCAGAAAAAUAGGAGUUUAAAUGGAGCAAUGAAGCCAUGGACCAUGAAGUACUGAUGCAAAGGACAAAGUUUGAUCACUCUUUUAGCCAUAAAUUACGAGGGAAGUCCACGACAAUCGUUAUGCAAAAGAGUUGUUGCAAAGCAGAAAACUGCAGUUUCAAAAUCAGCUUUUCAGGAACAGUUUUGGAGAGCAUUUCUUGCAUUCUUCCAACUGUAUCUUUACAGAAAGGGUCAGUAUUCCUUAAAUAUAUGAUGUUUUACUUCAACAUGAGCCAAAGAACUAGUCAUAAUCAUCAAUGAGGCAGCAGGAAAUCAAGUGCAAAGUAGGCUUCCCGAUAAGGCAGAAACUAUCAGCUUUUCACGAAGCUUUUUGGGAGAUCUUCUGGUGACUUAAUUGGAAUUUUUCUAGAAGGUUAUUGAUUAUUAUUGGAGAUAUGAUGUCAUAGAUCAUGGAUAAGUCAAGAACCAUCCAGAAUAACGGCAAUAUCAAGUCAAUCCUUGUCCAAGAAUUAAGCUUCAGAGAAAGAAAACGUAUCCUAGUCAAAACAGGGUAGUUUAGCCGAAAAUCUUCUUUGGGUAGAUUUCUUGUGCAUUUUUAGAAGGUCUAUGAUGCUGCAAUUAUCAAGGAGAGUCCGAGAAGAAUCCUACAAGAUUAUGUCAAGAUUAAUCCAUCAUAUUAUCUUUUGGAUAAUAGGUAUCCCUAUACACUUUUCUCCCAUGAUUGUCACCUUGACUUUGGUGACCCAAAACCACUCCAACACUUCAUUUUCAUGCUUCCCAUGCACAAUAAAGAGAGCUAGCUGCUCCUCUCUUCUCCCUUAGCCAGCUCCUCUCUUCUCCCUUAGCCAUAUUUUUCUACUCUACUCUCUUUAAUAGCUCAUUAUCACUUCCCUCUUUUUAAUUAAUCAAUCUCUUCCAUACCUUUUUCCCUUGUUUUUAGGAUCUAUUACCACUCCAACACUCUUCCUUUUAGCUCCAUUCAUGAAGCUAGUUGCACCCUUUGUCUUUCUUCAUCAUUUACACCUCUCUAUUCCCUAUAUAAGCAUCUCUUCAACCAUCACCGAUACCACCCCAUUACAUCUUCUAUCUCUCUCUCUCCACCACAAAACCUUCAUAUCCACCUCCCAAAAUCUAAACCCAUAAUACCCAUACUAUCCAUACUGCUCUAUCUCCUCCAUCACCACCACCAUUUCUUAUCCUUUACCUCCAUUAACACAUCAUUUCUCCACUCUCUUUUCUAUCAUCAGUUUCUCCAUCUACUCCACCUAUUCACACAAUACAUAAUACAAGCUUCAUUAUAUUUUAUCAUCAAAUGUUCAAGAGCAAGAAGGAGAGGGAAACACCACCACCACCAUCACCACCAAGAUGUGAGUUUGGGGACCAUCGACACACCACUAAGCCAACUCUAUCCCUUUUACUCUAGAUUAUAUUUUGGUGUUUAAUUUGAUUAUGAAGUUAGUAUAUGUAAUUAUAAGUGAGUAGUACUUUGUUGGGGCUAGGGUUGAAAGCUAGCCCUAGCCAAUCUUUUAUGGAUUGAUGCUAUAAUAUGAUGUUAUGCAAUUUUCUUUAACA